GGGUCAGUAGGUUGGUCGUGCCACCGGUACGUACUGGUCUCACUGAUUCCUCCUUCCUGAAGAACCGUAAUGCCAUUAAUUUGGUGUUGCGGGGAAACAGGACUGUUACUUUGAAAAAAUUAGAGUGUUUAAAGCAAGCUAACGCUCGAAUACAUUAGCAUGGAAUAAUGAAAUAGGACGAUCGAUCCUAUUUUGUUGGUUUCCAGGAUUGACGUA
rnacentral:rRNA from 1 species